AAGGGAGACCUAAUUCAGGUAUGGGACGAAAAAAAAGUAGUCGCUACCAAGAAUCAAUCCCAAAAGGUCGGAGCGAGGCGAAAUUGGCUUUCAAACUAGGUUCUGGGUUCACACAAGACCUGAAUCAGGGACAAGGGCUAUUAGCUCAGGUGGUUAGAGCGCACCCCUGAUAAGGGUGAGGUCCCUGGUUCGAGUCCAGGAGGGCCCACCUGCACAGGUGGCAAAAACAAAGAAAAAAAGCUCCGAAUCAGCACCUUAUCUUACUUAUACAGUAAGAGAGAAUGCUGGCUCUGAGUUCAGAGUUCAGAGGAACCUUGAAAACUGCAUAGAGCUAGGUGAAAAAGCCAAAAAAGAAGACCGCAA
rnacentral:tRNA from 1 species